rnacentral:rRNA from 1 species
CAAAUUGCUCCACUUACUACAUAGCAUAAACAACCCUAUGCUUUCAUGGAACUAUGACUUUCCUAUGGACAAUAUACAUGUUUAAGUUCAGUGAUUUAUGAUCAGGGGUAGAGUAGCGUGAUUAAUCUGCACCAUGCUGUUGUGAUCUCGCCGAAAUAACUAGUUAAAUCUUUCCUUCUUUUGUCUGAAUCGUUUGUGACUUUCUAGUAUAUAUCAUGUUGUGGAUGUGGCAAGUUUCUACGAAUCAUAUAUGUUCGAUUUGAAAUAACAUUAUAAAUGUUACACAUUUGUAUCUUUAUAAUAAAGUUUAAUUCCCUGCAGUCGUGCUAUGGACAUGGAAAACCAGUAGGCCAUUCUUGUGGAUGCCAAAUGUAGUCUUUUGGAGUGAAAAAUCAAAGAUGCAUUCAGCAUUACUCCUCGGUGUGGCAUGUCACUUAUAUUUGCCCGCUAAGGCACACGGUGUGUGCAUGCUCAAUCUCUCGUCAUUUUUGCCCACAAAAAGCGCUAUAACAGCUGCCGCUCAUGCCUUCAUCUCGUCCAUGGCUUUGAUCUCUCUUCCCACACAAGCUCGGCCUUCCUGUUCAGGUUCUGUGGCUCUCUAGGCGUGUGUUCUUCACUAAACAAUAGUAAUAUCCUAAGAUCCUCAAUUUUUCUGACUGUUUCUUGCCCCAAAUCUUAUCAAGAAAAUCACAAUGUUCUUGCCCUAUGCAACUGCCCCGUAGAGACGUCCUGUGGCAAGUUGAUGUAAUGGGGUCUCCAAUUUUUUAAUCCGGGCAUGCCAACCAUGGCAAUGGCGUUCCCAACCCUACCAGUUACCCUCACAUGCCUCACACUGUUAGCUCUCUUGUCGAUUGUCAUGGCAGCUGAUAGCAACUCCACGGCCACUGGCCUCAUUCUUCUAGAUUGCGGAGCAUCAAGCCCAAAUGUUGAUGAUAGUGGUCGUAUUUGGGAUGGGAACGCCGGCUCCAAGUUCGCGCCAUCAGUGAAAGGAGUUGCAGCCACUGCUUCAUACCAAGACCCUUCACUCCCCUCCUUGGUCCCUUAUAUUACUACACGCAUCUUCACUUCAAAUUACACCUAUCACUUCCCUGUCAGUCCAGGCCGCCUGUUCUUACGCCUCUACUUCUAUCCGAUUGCUUAUGCAAACUAUGCUGUCUUCGAUGCCUUCUUUGAUGUCACCGCAGGAAAUCUUGUACUCUUAAAUGGCUUCAAUGCUUCGCAAACUGCUCAGGCGAUCAAUUCUGCCUACCUUGUCCGUGAAUUUUCAGUGAAUGUUUCUUCAGGCAACUUGGACCUCACCUUUGCCCCAUCAGCAUAUCAGAAUGGUUCUUAUGCAUUUGUCAAUGGCGUUGAGAUUGUGUCUACGCCUGACAUCUUUACAACAUCUAACUCAAGAUUUGUCGACGGCGGUAACACAUUUCCAUUCUCAUUCGCCGCUGACACAGGCUUCCAGACUAUGUACCGGCUCAAUGUCGGGGGCGAUGCCAUUUUGCCGAUAUAUGACUCGGGCUUUUACCGCUCAUGGAACAGUGAUUCCUCGUACUUGUACUUAUUUGGUGCCUCGGGAGUGACCGUCUCCAAAGAUUUCAAUUUGACCAUUCAGUAUACACCCACAGUGCCGAAUUACACUGCGCCAUUUGAUGUCUAUGGUACAGCUCGGUCAAUGGGGCCAAAUGCACAGGACAACCUGAACAGCAACCUUACAUGGAUUUUACCCGUUGAUGCAGGGUUCGCUUACCUCAUAAGGUUCCAUUUCUGUCAGAUUAAGUAUCCUAUUACCAAGGUGAAUCAGAUGUCGUUCUUCAUCUACAUCAACAACCAGACAGCGCAGCAGCGAAUGGAUGUCAUUUUCUGGAGCGGAGGAAUCGGUAGAACAGCAUACAAAGACUAUGCUAUCAUGGCUAUUGGUUCCGGUCAGGUGGACAUAUGGAUUGCACUUCACCCUGAUCUUUCAAGUGAACCAGAGUAUUUUGAUGCAAUACUUAAUGGUCUUGAGGUUUUCAAGCUACAGGAUUACGAAUCGAACAAUCUUGCUGGGCUCAAUCCUCCACUUUCGCAAUUCACUGAUCUUAACAGUGUUGCAAGAAAAUCCUAUGAUGACAUACCAGCAGUCAUGGGUGGAAUUACUGGCGGUUCUGCUUUGAUGUUGAUUGCCCUUUUCAGCACGUUUGUUAUCUGCACACGGAAGAAGGUAGCAAAAAGUUCUUGCAAGACCGACUAUGGACAUCUGAAUCAUCCCACUGAACUCAGAAAGUCCACAUGUGAUCUUGUCCGUCACUUCUCAUUUACAGAAAUUCAAGUUGCCACCAAAGACUUUGAUGAAGCACUUAUCAUUGGCAGAGGCAGUUUCGGGGAUGUCUACAAUGGAGAGAUAGACGGAGGGACAAAGGUGGCGAUCAAGCGAUUCAACAAGAAAUCCCGGCAAGGCUUUCAUGAGUUUCAGACUGAAAUCGAGAUGCUGUGCAAUUUCCGCCAUCGCCACCUUGUAUCUUUGAUUGGCUACUGUGAGGAGAAGAAUGAGAUGAUUCUGGUGUAUGACUAUAUGGCUCAUGGAACAUUGCGUGAGCACCUAUACAACACCAGAAACCCACCACUGCCGUGGCAGCAACGCCUUGAGAUUUGCAUCGGUGCAGCCCGGGGACUGCAUUACCUCCACACUGGCGCAGAGCUAGGAAUCAUCCACCGUGACGUUAAGAGCACCAACAUCCUAUUGGAUGAUAGGUUCAUGGCAAAGGUUUCCGACUUCGGUCUGUCUAAGGCUAGUCCAGACAUUGACAACACCCACAUGAGCACUGCUGUGAAAGGCACCUUUGGAUAUCUUGAUCCGGAGUACUUCCGGCUGCAGCGUCUCACCAAAAAAUCAGAUGUGUACUCUUUCGGGGUCGUGUUGUUUGAGACCCUGUGUGCACGCCCUGUGAUAAACACCGAGCUCCCCGAGGAGCAAGUGAGCUUGCGUGACUGGGCACUAUCUUGCUGGAAGAAUGGUGUACUCGAGGAGAUUGUUGACCCCCGUGUUAAGGAGGAAAUCACCCCUGAGUGCUUCAGGAUUUUUGCAGAGAUAGCAGAGAAAUGCGUUGCUGAUCGUAGCAUAGAUAGGCCAUCAAUGGGUGAUGUACUCUGGAACCUUGAGGUCGCACUCCAGCUGCAGCAGGAUAGUGCAAGCUACAACGGCAACUGUGCAGAGGGUGCUUCAUUUCUUCGGAUCAGCGCGGUGCAUCAAGACAAACCAUCCACCAACUCAACAAUUAGCAUCACAGCACAGGAAGCCAUAUUUUCAGAUAUUGCGCAUCCAGAAGGCCGAUAAAAGCAAACUGCGGGUUGCUAUUUUGUUAUUUUGCUACAAGGUUGUUCAGUGCCUCGGUUAUCUCGAUGCAGUAGUAUUAACUACAGCCAUAUCUGACUGAGCUAUCAAGGAUAAAGGAGGGAUCUACAAUAGACAUAUUACCUGAUUUUAAGCACUGUCCCUUCUCCGAGUCAAGGACGAACUCAUCAACAGUGUAGUCAAUCUAAUUGGGGUUACGAGGGUGCCCGGUUGAUAUCCAGUGUCAUCCUUUCUGAUUUGCAGCGUCUUAUCCAGCUUUUUCAGAGGCCGCGUUUGCGAUGACAUGGCCCAGAAGCCAACGACGCCACUAAGGCACCCGCAGCUGCAUUGGUGCUAUGGGUCGCCAGAUAUAUGGAGCUAGUGGAGCCGUAAUUACAGAGUGAAAGGUAGACAUGCGUUUUUUUAGAUAGUAUGCUUAUUCCACAAAAUUCCAAGAAUUGUUCAAUUCAAAGCCCACCUACACUCGAUCUUUUUACACUCAGUCAAACAUUUUGUUCACCCAAUCAUUUUACAUAAUCUUGCAACUUUCACAUAUUCUGUAAUCAUCGAUUUUGUACUCGCAUAUUCAUGUGUUUUCUUUACUGUUGCAUUUUUAUUCAUGUGGCCCAAUCACACCUGAAACUAAAAUAUGCAGUUUGCACUUGCUAGGCUCCUCUCGGGAGCUGGUACAGUGUACCUGCUUUUUUAAACUGUACUUGAGGUAGCUACAGAUAUUGAUCGUGUUGGAGUUUCUAUUUGGUCAAGAGUUCCUUGGUCCAAGAUCUUGGGACUUACUAUUUGUUAUCAAAGUUUAUAUUGAGUGGGUAGUCACUAGCCUCACAUAACUAGCACACUUCAACAUAUUUUCCACGGUGGUAAUGUUGACAAUGUGAACUUGGUUGGAGUAGAACUGACAAUUUCCACGGAAAACUUGACAAAUCUGAUGAAAAGGCUUUCCAUUGUUACAAGACUAGAUAGGUGGCCUUUGCAUGUAUGUUGGGGGCAUCUUUGAUCCGCGGGAUUACGAAAUGUAGUGAUAGGGAAAAUAAAAAUAGGAUAGAAA